rnacentral:rRNA from 1 species
AUGAACGCUAGCUACAGGCUUAACACAUGCAAGUCGAGGGGCAGCGGGAUUGAAGCUUGCUUCAAUUGCCGGCGACCGGCGCACGGGUGAGUAACGCGUAUCCAACCUUCCGCUUACUCGGGGAUAGCCUUUCGAAAGAAAGAUUAAUACCCGAUGGUAUCUUAAGCACGCAUGAGAUUAAGAUUAAAGAUUUAUCGGUAAGCGAUGGGGAUGCGUUCCAUUAGGCAGUUGGCGGGGUAACGGCCCACCAAACCUACGAUGGAUAGGGGUUCUGAGAGGAAGGUCCCCCACAUUGGAACUGAGACACGGUCCAAACUCCUACGGGAGGCAGCAGUGAGGAAUAUUGGUCAAUGGGCGAGAGCCUGAACCAGCCAAGUAGCGUGAAGGAUGACGGCCCUACGGGUUGUAAACUUCUUUUGUGCGGGAAUAAAGGAACCUACGUGUAGGUUUUUGCAUGUACCGUAACGAAUAAGCAUCGGCUAACUCCGUGCCAGCAGCCGCGGUAAUACGGAGGAUGCGAGCGUUAUCCGGAUUUAUUGGGUUUAAAGGGAGCGUAGACGGGUUUUUAAGUCAGCUGUGAAAGUUUGGGGCUCAACCUUAAAAUUGCAGUUGAAACUGGAGACCUUGAGUACGGUUGAGGCAGGCGGAAUUCGUGGUGUAGCGGUGAAAUGCUUAGAUAUCACGAAGAACCCCGAUUGCGAAGGCAGCCUGCUAAGCCGCCACUGACGUUGAGGCUCGAAAGUGCGGGUAUCAAACAGGAUUAGAUACCCUGGUAGUCCGCACGGUAAACGAUGGAUACUCGCUGUUGGCGAUAGACAGUCAGCGGCCAAGCGAAAGCGUUAAGUAUCCCACCUGGGGAGUACGCCGGCAACGGUGAAACUCAAAGGAAUUGACGGGGGCCCGCACAAGCGGAGGAACAUGUGGUUUAAUUCGACGCAACGCGAAGAACCUUACCAGGUCUUGACAUCCUUUGACCACUCUAGAGAUAGAGCUUCCCCUUCGGGGGCAAAGUGACAGGUGGUGCAUGGUUGUCGUCAGCUCGUGCCGUGAGGUGUCGGCUUAAGUGCCAUAACGAGCGCAACCCUUGCUGCCAGUUACUAACAGGUCAUGCUGAGGACUCUGGCAGGACUGCCAUCGUAAGAUGCGAGGAAGGUGGGGAUGACGUCAAAUCAGCACGGCCCUUACGUCCGGGGCUACACACGUGUUACAAUGGGGAGUACAGAGGGCAGCUACCGGGCGACCGGAUGCGAAUCCCGAAAGCUCCUCUCAGUUCGGACUGGAGUCUGCAACCCGACUCCACGAAGCUGGAUUCGCUAGUAAUCGCGCAUCAGCCACGGCGCGGUGAAUACGUUCCCGGGCCUUGUACACACCGCCCGUCAAGCCAUGAAAGCCGGGGGUACCUGAAGUACGUAACCGCGAGGAUCGUCCUAGGGUAAAACCGGUAAUUGGGGCU